rnacentral:rRNA from 1 species
GGUUAAGUUAGAAAGGGCGCACGGUGGAUGCCUUGGCACUAGGAGCCGAUGAAGGACGGGACGAACACCGAUAUGCUUCGGGGAGCUGUAAGCAAGCUUUGAUCCGGAGAUUUCCGAAUGGGGAAACCCACCACUCGUAAUGGAGUGGUAUCCAUAUCUGAAUACAUAGGAUAUGAGAAGGCAGACCCGGGGAACUGAAACAUCUAAGUACCCGGAGGAAGAGAAAGCAAAUGCGAUUCCCUGAGUAGCGGCGAGCGAAACGGGAUAGCCCAAACCAAGAGGCUUGCCUCUUGGGGUUGUAGGACACUCUGUACGGAGUUACAAAGGAACGAGGUAGAUGAAGAGGUCUGGAAAGGCCGCCAUAGGAGGUAACAGCCCUGUAGUCAAAACUUCGUUCUCUCCUGAGUGGAUCCUGAGUACGGCGGAACACGUGAAAUUCCGUCGGAAUCCGGGAGGACCAUCUCCCAAGGCUAAAUACUCCCUAGUGACCGAUAGUGAACCAGUACCGUGAGGGAAAGGUGAAAAGCACCCCGGAAGGGGAGUGAAAGAGAUCCUGAAACCGUGUGCCUACAAGUAGUCAGAGCCCGUUAACGGGUGAUGGCGUGCCUUUUGUAGAAUGAACCGGCGAGUUACGAUCCCGUGCAAGGUUAAGCAGAAGAUGCGGAGCCGCAGCGAAAGCGAGUCUGAAUAGGGCGAAUUGAGUACGUGGUCGUAGACCCGAAACCAGGUGAUCUACCCAUGUCCAGGGUGAAGUUCAGGUAACACUGAAUGGAGGCUUCGAACCCACGCACGUUGAAAAGUGCGGGGAUGAGGUGUGGGUAGGGGUGAAAUGCCAAUCGAACCUGGAGAUAGCUGGUUCUCUCCGAAAUAGCUUUAGGGCUAGCCUCAAGGUAAGAGUCUCGGAGGUAGAGCACUGAUUGGACUAGGGGCCCCUACCGGGUUACCGAAUUCAGUCAAACUCCGAAUGCCGAUGACUUAUCCUUGGGAGUCAGACUGCGAGUGAUAAGAUCCGUAGUCGAAAGGGAAACAGCCCAGACCGCCAGCUAAGGUCCCAAAGUAUACGUUAAGUGGAAAAGGAUGUGGAGUUGCUUAGACAACCAGGAUGUUGGCUUAGAAGCAGCCACCAUUUAAAGAGUGCGUAAUAGCUCACUGGUCGAGUGACUCUGCGCCGAAAAUGUACCGGGGCUAAACGUAUCACCGAAGCUGCGGACUGUUCUUCGAACAGUGGUAGGAGAGCGUUCUAAGGGCUGUGAAGCAAGACCGGAAGGACUUGUGGAGCGCUUAGAAGUGAGAAUGCCGGUAUGAGUAGCGAAAGAGGGGUGAGAAUCCCCUCCACCGAAUGCCUAAGGUUUCCUGAGGAAGGCUCGUCCGCUCAGGGUUAGUCGGGGCCUAAGCCGAGGCCGAAAGGCGUAGGCGAUGGAUAACAGGUUGAUAUUCCUGUACCACCUCCUCACCAUUUGAGCAAUGGGGGGACGCAGGAGGAUAGGGUGAGCGCGGUAUUGGAUAUCCGCGUCCAAGCAGUUAGGCUGGGAAAUAGGCAAAUCCGUUUCCCGUGAAGGCUGAGCUGUGAUGGCGAGCGAAUUAUAGUAGCGAAGUUCCUGAUUCCACACUGCCAAGAAAAGCCUCUAGCGAGGUGAGAGGUGCCCGUACCGCAAACCGACACAGGUAGGCGAGGAGAGAAUCCUAAGGUGAUCGAGAGAACUCUCGUUAAGGAACUCGGCAAAAUGACCCCGUAACUUCGGGAGAAGGGGUGCUCUGUUAGGGUGCAAGCCCGAGAGAGCCGCAGUGAAUAGGCUCAGGCGACUGUUUAGCAAAAACACAGGUCUCUGCGAAGCCGUAAGGCGAAGUAUAGGGGCUGACGCCUGCCCGGUGCUGGAAGGUUAAGAGGAGCGCUUAGCGUAAGCGAAGGUGCGAAUUGAAGCCCCAGUAAACGGCGGCCGUAACUAUAACGGUCCUAAGGUAGCGAAAUUCCUUGUCGGGUAAGUUCCGACCCGCACGAAAGGCGCAACGAUCUGGGCACUGUCUCAACGAGAGACUCGGUGAAAUUAUAGUACCUGUGAAGAUGCAGGUUACCCGCGACAGGACGGAAAGACCCCGUGGAGCUUUACUGCAGCCUGAUAUUGAAUGUUGGUACAGCUUGUACAGGAUAGGUAGGAGCCUUGGAAACCGGAGCGCCAGCUUCGGUGGAGGCAUCGGUGGGAUACUACCCUGGCUGUAUUGACCUUCUAACCCGCCGCCCUUAUCGGGCGGGGAGACAGUGUCAGGUGGGCAGUUUGACUGGGGCGGUCGCCUCCUAAAAGGUAACGGAGGCGCCCAAAGGUUCCCUCAGAAUGGUUGGAAAUCAUUCGCAGAGUGUAAAGGCACAAGGGAGCUUGACUGCGAGACCUACAAGUCGAGCAGGGACGAAAGUCGGGCUUAGUGAUCCGGUGGUUCCGCAUGGAAGAGCCAUCGCUCAACGGAUAAAAGCUACCCCGGGGAUAACAGGCUUAUCUCCCCCAAGAGUCCACAUCGACGGGGAGGUUUGGCACCUCGAUGUCGGCUCAUCGCAUCCUGGGGCUGUAGUCGGUCCCAAGGGUUGGGCUGUUCGCCCAUUAAAGCGGUACGCGAGCUGGGUUCAGAACGUCGUGAGACAGUUCGGUCCCUAUCCGUCGCGGGCGCAGGAAAUUUGAGAGGAGCUGUCCUUAGUACGAGAGGACCGGGAUGGACGCACCGCUGGUGUACCAGUUGUUCUGCCAAGGGCAUCGCUGGGUAGCUAUGUGCGGACGGGAUAAGUGCUGAAAGCAUCUAAGCAUGAAGCCCCCCUCAAGAUGAGAUUUCCCAUUCCGCAAGGAAGUAAGAUCCCUGAAAGAUGAUCAGGUUGAUAGGUCUGAGGUGGAAGUGUGGCGACACAUGGAGCUGACAGAUACUAAUCGAUCGAGGACUUAACCAA